GUGGGGAAUUUUGGUCAAUGGGCGCAAGCCUGAUCCAGCAAUGCCGCGUGCAGGAAGAAGGCCUUCGGGUUGUAAACUGCUUUUGUACGGAACGAAACGGUCCGGGUUAAUACCCUGGGCUAAUGACGGUACCGUAAGAAUAAGCACCGGCUAACUACGUGCCAGCAGCCGCGGUAAUACGUAGGGUGCAAGCGUUAAUCGGAAUUACUGGGCGUAAAGCGUGCGCAGGCGGUUUUGUAAGACAGGCGUGAAAUCCCCGGGCUCAACCUGGGAAUUGCGCUUGUGACUGCAAGGCUGGAGUGCGGCAGAGGGGGAUGGAAUUCCGCGUGUAGCAGUGAAAUGCGUAGAUAUGCGGAGGAACACCGAUGGCGAAGGCAAUCCCCUGGGCCUGCACUGACGCUCAUGCACGAAAGCGUGGGGAGCAAACAGGAUUAGAAACCCGUGUAGUCC
rnacentral:rRNA from 1 species